GACGAACGCUGGCGACGUGCUUAACACAUGCAAGUCGAACGGAAAGGCCCUGCUUUUGUGGGGUGCUCGAGUGGCGAACGGGUGAGUAACACGUGAGUAACCUGCCCUUGACUUUGGGAUAACUUCAGGAAACUGGGGCUAAUACCGGAUAGGAGCUCCUGCUGCAUGGUGGGCGUUGGAAAGUUUCGGCGGUUGGGGAUGGACUCGCGGCUUAUCAGCUUGUUGGUGGGGUAGUGGCUUACCAAGGCUUUGACGGGUAGCCGGCCUGAGAGGGUGACCGGCCACAUUGGGACUGAGAUACGGCCCAGACUCCUACGGGAGGCAGCAGUGGGGAAUAUUGCACAAUGGGCGGAAGCCUGAUGCAGCAACGCCGCGUGCGGGAUGACGGCCUUCGGAUUGUAAACCGCUUUCGCCUGUGACGAAGCGUGAGUGACGGUAAUGGGUAAAGAAGCACCGGCUAACUACGUG
rnacentral:rRNA from 1 species